GGAUUGUGGCUCAUCGGUAGGGCACUCGUCUGGCACGUGUGAGGCUCUGGGUUCGAUCCUCAGCAUCA
rnacentral:tRNA from 1 species